AAAUUGAAGAGUUUGAUCAUGGCUCAGAUUGAACGCUGGCGGCAGGCCUAACACAUGCAAGUCGAACGGUAACAGGAAGCAGCUUGCUGCUUCGCUGACGAGUGGCGGACGGGUGAGUAAUGUCUGGGAAACUGCCUGAUGGAGGGGAUAACUACUGGAAACGGUGGCUAAUACCGCAUAACGUCGCAAGACCAAAGAGGGGGACCUUCGGGCCUCUUGCCAUCAGAUGUGCCCAGAUGGGAUUAGCUUGUUGGUGAGGUAACGGCUCACCAAGGCGACGAUCCCUAGCUGGUCUGAGAGGAUGACCAGCCACACUGGAACUGAGACACGGUCCAGACUCCUACGGGAGGCAGCAGUGGGGAAUAUUGCACAAUGGGCGCAAGCCUGAUGCAGCCAUGCCGCGUGUAUGAAGAAGGCCUUCGGGUUGUAAAGUACUUUCAGCGGGGAGGAAGGUGUUGUGUUAAUAACCGCAGCAAUUGACGUUACCCGCAGAAGAAGCACCGGCUAACUCCGUGCCAGCAGCCGCGGUAAUACGGAGGGUGCAAGCGUUAAUCGGAAUUACUGGGCGUAAAGCGCACGCAGGCGGUCUGUCAAGUCGGAUGUGAAAUCCCCGGGCUCAACCUGGGAACUGCAUUCGAAACUGGCAGGCUUGAGUCUUGUAGAGGGGGGUAGAAUUCCAGGUGUAGCGGUGAAAUGCGUAGAGAUCUGGAGGAAUACCGGUGGCGAAGGCGGCCCCCUGGACAAAGACUGACGCUCAGGUGCGAAAGCGUGGGGAGCAAACAGGAUUAGAUACCCCGGUAGUCCACGCCGUAAACGAUGUCUACUUGGAGGUUGUGCCCUUGAGGCGUGGCUUCCGGAGCUAACGCGUUAAGUAGACCGCCUGGGGAGUACGGCCGCAAGGUUAAAACUCAAAUGAAUUGACGGGGGCCCGCACAAGCGGUGGAGCAUGUGGUUUAAUUCGAUGCAACGCGAAGAACCUUACCUGGUCUUGACAUCCACAGAAGAAUCCAGAGAUGGAUUUGUGCCUUCGGGAACUGUGAGACAGGUGCUGCAUGGCUGUCGUCAGCUCGUGUUGUGAAAUGUUGGGUUAAGUCCCGCAACGAGCGCAACCCUUAUCCUUUGUUGCCAGCGGUUAGGCCGGGAACUCAAAGGAGACUGCCAGUGAUAAACUGGAGGAAGGUGGGGAUGACGUCAAGUCAUCAUGGCCCUUACGACCAGGGCUACACACGUGCUACAAUGGCGCAUACAAAGAGAAGCGACCUCGCGAGAGCAAGCGGACCUCAUAAAGUGCGUCGUAGUCCGGAUUGGAGUCUGCAACUCGACUCCAUGAAGUCGGAAUCGCUAGUAAUCGUGGAUCAGAAUGCCACGGUGAAUACGUUCCCGGGCCUUGUACACACCGCCCGUCACACCAUGGGAGUGGGUUGCAAAAGAAGUAGGUAGCUUAACCUUCGGGAGGGCGCUUACCACUUUGUGAUUCAUGACUGGGGUGAAGUCGUAACAAGGUAACCGUAGGGGAACCUGCGGUUGGAUCACCUCCUUACCUUAAAGAA
rnacentral:rRNA from 1 species